rnacentral:rRNA from 1 species
CCCUUAGAUGUCCUGGGCCGCACGCGCGCUACACUGAGUGUCUGAGAUAUGAGGCAUGCCUGGUCCGGCAAGGUCUAGGUAAUCACGAAAAGGCACAUCAUGCUUGGGAUUGAUUAUUGCAAAUUUUAAUCAUGAACGAGGAAUUCCUAGUAAGUGCAAGUCAACAGCUUGCGUUGAUUACGUCCCUGCCCUUUGUACACACCGCCCGUCGCUACUACUGAUUGAAUGGUCCGGUGAAAUCUUCGGACCGGGCGAUAGUCAGCAAUGACCGUUGCCUGGAAAGUUGCUUAAACCUUACCAUUUAGAGGAAGGUGAAGUCGUAACA